GGAGGGAUAGGGGCAAAUCGCCCUCAGGCGAUUUGGGGCGCAGCCCCGAGCGGAGGCGAGUCAAUCCCUCCCUCUCCGCCA
rnacentral:tRNA from 1 species